GACGAACGCUGGCGGCGUGCUUAACACAUGCAAGUCGAACGAUGAACCGGUUUCGGCCGGGGAUUAGUGGCGAACGGGUGAGUAACACGUGGGCAAUCUUCCCUGCACUCUGGGAUAAGCCCGGGAAACUGGGUCUAAUACCGGAUACGACACUCCGAGGCAUCUUGGGGUGUGGAAAGUUCCGGCGGUGCAGGAUGAGCCCGCGGCCUAUCAGCUUGUUGGUGGGGUAAUGGCCUACCAAGGCGACGACGGGUAGCCGGCCUGAGAGGGUGACCGGCCACACUGGGACUGAGACACGGCCCAGACUCCUACGGGAGGCAGCAGUGGGGAAUAUUGCACAAUGGGCGAAAGCCUGAUGCAGCGACGCCGCGUGAGGGAUGACGGCCUUCGGGUUGUAAACCUCUUUCAGCAGGGAAGAAGCGAAAGUGACGGUACCUGCAGAAGAAGCACCGGCUAACUACGUG
rnacentral:rRNA from 1 species